CCGCCCGCGCUCGUCCGCUGAUUGGCCGGCCCGCGGGACUCGCGCCAUCGCCGCCCGCAACCGAGCUCCGAAAGGCCGCUGAUUGGGCGUCGGCGAUCGGCUCUCCCCUCUGAUUGAUCGCCGUCCGCGGCUCUGGCUCGAGCCGCCCGUUGGCCUUAGGGUUCAGUCAUCUCCGAUUGGUGCAGCUCUGUGGCUGCGAACCCUGAUUGGCUGCCGUGAACAGUCUGCGGGCGCCUGGCCUCUAGUCACCCAGUCACAAAGGGCCGGGGCGGCUACCGCUGCCACCUGCAUCACCGCGGAAUGCGCCUCAAGGGGGAUACUAGAAAGUGUGAUUUCCGGGGCACGAUUUAUCAUAUAGCAGCAUAUCAUGGAUAAUAAAUGAUGAGCAGUAAUAAGUGCUCUCCAUUAGAGAAGUGCAUCUAAAAAGAGACACGAUGCCUGUUCGUUUACGUGCCUUGGGUAAAAUAAAGGUGAUUGGCUGUAUAGCGUCUUAGCGAGAGCUCUGGACCUGGAUUCAGGACGCCUCUUCCUGCCACAGGUGGACCGCCCCCUGCUUGACCUUGGGCAAGGCGCUUAACCUUUCAGUAUCUCAGUUCUCACAUCUGGAAAUGAGGAGGUUGGACAGGUCUCUCUCCAAAUUACACUGGGGCUCUAAUGACUUUGAUACUACUGUUUAAGUUUAAGUGAUUCAAAUCAUUGUGAUACAGAAAAGCAUGGAGUAUAAGUCAGAAGACAAGGUUCAACUUCAGUUAAAUGAAAAAUUAGUUAUUAAAUGAGAUGAGGCGUGGAAAGGAUUUGCCUUGGUGCCUGCUACAUUGAAUGUGUUCAAUAAAAUGUUGAGAAAACUGCAGGGAGUGGUUAAGCAACUUGCCGAAGGUCCAGGAAGCAGGUAAGUAGCUGAGCUGGAGUUCAAGCCCACAGGAAGAUCUAAGCAGUCUGGCCUGGAGUGCACACCUCCUGCCUUUCUCAAAAGCCUUGGAGCCCACUGAAGAAGUGACUAUUCUUGACCACAGACCUUCCAGGAAAAGAAAGAAGCCAAGGACAUAUAAUGCUGUGCCAAAAUGAA
rnacentral:lncRNA from 1 species